rnacentral:rRNA from 1 species
AGCAGCCGCGGUAAUUCCAGCUCCAAUAGCGUAUAUUAAAGUUGUUGCAGUUAAAAAGCUCGUAGUUGAAUUUUGGAUUCGGCCAAUUGGUCCAUCUUUUAGAUGAGUACUGGUUGUGUUGGGUCUAUCCGCCUGGUGAUACGUAAUGUCCUUUAUUGGGUGUUGCGGGUAGUCAGGACCUUUACCUUGAAAAAAUUAGAGUGUUUAAAGCAGGCUUAUGCCGGAAUACAUUAGCAUGGAAUAAUAGAAUAGGACGAAGUUGUUUUAUUUUGUUGGUUUCUAGGACAACCGUAAUGAUUAAUAGGGAUAGUUGGGGGCAUUAGUAUUCAAUUGUCAGAGGUGAAAUUCUUGGAUUUAUUGAAGACUAACUACUGCGAAAGCAUUUGCCAAGGAUGUUUUC